rnacentral:sRNA from 1 species
UUGACAAGUCGUGGAGACCAAAACUCUCCAGUUUCCCACAGUAGAGGCCCAAGAGCAAUGCAGAUUUCCUUGCACUACCAAGCCACUGUUUUUCUACCAUCACCUAGAGGCACUAAUUCUAGAAACGAGUGGGUAAUUAAGUCUCCAUACCGAUUCAGUCCUUGGCUUCU